GAUGAACGCUGGCGGCGUGCCUAACACAUGCAAGUCGAACGGAGUCCAGCCUUUAAGACCUUCGGGUCAAAGAGGGGAAGACUGAGUGGCGGACGGGGGAGUAACACGUGGGCAACCUGGCUCAUAGAGGGGGAUAACAGAGAGAAAUUUCUGCUAAUACCGCAUAAGCACACACUGCCGCAUGGCAGAGGGUGAAAAGAGAAUCGCUAUGAGAUGGACCCGCGUCUGAUUAGCCAGUUGGCAGGGUAAGAGCCUACCAAAGCGACGAUCAGUAGCCGAUCUGAGAGGAUGAACGGCCACAUUGGGACUGAGACACGGCCCAAACUCCUACGGGAGGCAGCAGUGGGGGAUAUUGCACAAUGGGGGGAACCCUGAUGCAGCGACGCCGCGUGAGUGAAGAAGUAUUUCGGUAUGUAAAGCUCUAUCAGCAGGGAAGAUAAUGACAGUACCUGAAUAAGAAGCCCCGGCUAACUACGUG
rnacentral:rRNA from 1 species